UGGAUCCGUAAUCCGGGUUGCGGACAGUGUCUGGUGGGUAGUUUGACUGGGGCGGUCUCCUCCUAAAGAGUAACGGAGGAGCACGAAGGUUGGCUAAUCCUGGUCGGACAUCAGGAGGUUAGUGCAAUGGCAUAAGCCAGCUUGACUGCGAGCGUGACGGCGCGAGCAGGUGCGAAAGCAGGUCAUAGUGAUCCGGUGGUUCUGAAUGGAAGGGCCAUCGCUCAACGGAUAAAAGGUACUCCGGGGAUAACAGGCUGAUACCGCCCAAGAGUUCAUAUCGACGGCGGUGUUUGGCACCUCGAUGUCGGCUCAUCACAUCCUGGGGCUGAAGUAGGUCCCAAGGGUAUGGCUGUUCGCCAUUUAAAGUGGUACGCGAGCUGGGUUUAGAACGUCGUGAGACAGUUCGGUCCCUAUCUGCCGUGGGCGCUGGAGAACUGAGGGGGGCUGCUCCUAGUACGAGAGGACCGGAGUGGACGCAUCACUGGUGUUCGGGUUGUCAUGCCAAUGGCACUGCCCGGUAGCUAAAUGCGGAAGAGAUAAGUGCUGAAAGCAUCUAAGCACGAAACUUGCCCCGAGAUGAGUUCUCCCUGAGACUUA
rnacentral:rRNA from 1 species